ensembl:lncRNA
GUUUGGGGGAGAGUGGAUACAGGUACAUGUAUGGCUGAGGACCUUCACUGUUUACUUGAAAUUAUCACAAUAUUGUUAAUCAGCUAUAUUCCAGUACAAAACAAAAAAUUUAAAAAAUAGAAAUAGAGAAAUGAGUGCUGAUGGGGAAAACAACAACAACAAAAAUUUAACCAGUGCUCAAUAAAUUUGUAUAUAUUAUACUCCUGGGGGAAAAAAUAAGAUGCCAACUUAGUAAAUAUGCUAUUUUAUAACUUGUAUUUUACAUUUGAAAUGAGUAUCUUUCCAAAUUAACAAAUAUGUUCUACAUUAUAACUUUUAAUUUUAUACCAUAAUUUAUUUAACUAAUUCACAACAUUUAGUUUAUCUACAAAUUUUUGUUAUAGGCAGAAUAGAAUGAGCACUUUUGUAGCUAGAUCUUCGUGUACAUUUCUAAUUUCCUUCAGGUAAAUAUCUAUACAUAAGAUUUCUGGGUUAAAGAAUUUAUAAUGUUAUAUAUUAACAUCUAAGUAUGUUUUAGAUAGAACAUCUAAGAUUUGUGACUAUCUCUUUUUAAAUGUUUUUAGACUAUUAUUUGGCAGAAUUCCCUUUCUAAGUUAUAUCACCAAAUAACUAAGCUUCUAUCAGUAUUAGCAUGAAUGAUUUUUGUUUAUUCACUCUUAAAGUUGCUAGCCUUUCUCACAUUUACUCAAUAAAUAUUUAUUUAGGAACUACUAUGUGCAGGACACUACCAGAUGCUAGGGAUAGGAAGCAAGACACCUGGAGUAAUGUUCCCAGUGUGAUUCAAUAUAUUCUUUUUGUCUCUAUGAAGCUACAGAGAAAGGAGAUGCCAUCUGGAAGACACCUUUAAGGAAAUCAUCAGGUAGCCCAAAUAUCGCAAGUGGUCCAGAAAAGAAAGAACACCCCUGGGUAAAGGGAAAAAAAUGUGCCAAAGAACGGAAGCAUAAAAGAACAGGUCAUUUUGUGCGACUGUAACAUACACAACUGAAGCCUUGCCUGAAACCUAACAUCACUAGAAGUACUUGCUGGUAGUGAGGGAAUUCUGUGCGGAGGCUAUACUACUGGACUGCUACCAUCGUGAAUUAAUUGUUGCUCUUUGUUUAUGUCCAUUAACCUUCUGAAGUCCUAUUAAUUCUGAAUAAACUCAGUCAGCUCAGUUUUUCUGUUUGAGCCCAGGAGCUAAUGUUUGAAAGAAAGUUCCUCUGCACUAAUUCCAUGUUUUGGAUAAACUCUGUACAACGGAGCAAAUGGCUGAAGUCCAGAGCCCACAGCCCCAGUGGAAUAUACUUUUCAACCCCAAGAGACACCCUAUUUGACCAACAUACUAGACCUAUUUUUCAGAUUUUAAAGUCUUCUUCAAUAAGUAGGAGGAAAAAAAUUAUGUUUCAGUUCUGCAUAUAAUCAAAACAAUAAAUCCACAUGGGGUAAUUUUUUUUCUCACUAAACAUUGUUUAAAAUGUAUUAUUAUACCAAAGAACACAAUUUUUUCCAUUACUCCAACUACAGCUGAAAAAAUAAAAAUUUUCCAUUUAUAUACAGCUUUAGAGUAUUCAAAGCACUUUUACAUAUUACUUAUUUGAACCUCAAAACAACCUUGAAGUCUUGAGACUCAAAACAACCUUGAAAUAUUACCCAUAUUGUAGCACAUAUUUUUGCAGAGAAGGAAACCAAAGUCGAAAAUAAGUAGUUUACCCAAAGUGACACAAUUAUUAUGACUAAACCACACUGCUCAAAAGUCUGAAAAGUCUCAAUCAAGACUGGACUAAUAGUCCUUCUCUGGGGCUCCCAUUGUCCCAUUGCCUAUCCCUUCCAAAGCACUCAUUUUACCAGUGUUUCUCAUGCUUUAAUGUACAUGCAGAUUAUGACUCCAUUGACUUAGGGGUGGGGCCUGAAAUUCUGCAUUUCUAAUAAGCUCCAGAGCAAUGCUGGUGCUGCUGGUCUAAGGCAUGCCAAUGGAUCAGGACAGCCUGGUUUUGGUGUGUUUUUUUUUAAUUCUCCUGCACCCCACUGGAAGCUCUAUAAGGCCACGAAUUAUGCAUUAUUAAUCAAAAGCAUUCCUAGCAUUUAACUCAAGAUAUGACAGGCUAUGAAAGUCUCUAUAAAUAUGAAAUGAAUGAAAAAUUAAGUGAAUAAUGAAAUCCAUGUUUCUAACCUAGAGCUGCCUCCAGUAUAUUAUGCUGUCUCUCACAAACAGUGGCCAGGACUGCCUUUCCCUUUUAACUACCACAUUAGUUAAGGAAAACUCCAGCUUCCUUAAGAAAACCUAUUAUCUCAGUGGCUAAACACAUUGAAGAGGGUUUUUUCUUGCUCAUGUAAGUAUAUAUGAGUCUUCCCUCUUGGAGUAGGUGAGGAAAGGUCUGCUCCACUCAGUCAUUCAGAAUCCAAGCUGACAGAGGCUAUACCAACUGCAGUACAAGGCUGUCAAGGUCACCUCAAGAAUCGACUUCUACCUAGCAUGUGAAGCCUGAAAAUAACUCAUCCAUUCCACCUCUAUUCCAAGAGAACCUGGGAAAUGCAGCCUUCAGUCGGGUAGUCACACUCUAGCAACGAUACACCAGAGAAGAGGGCAGAAGCCACAGGUGGACACAGUGCCCUUUACUGCUGUACAGCCCCCAUGACAACCCACUGUGUGUUAAUGGUGCUCCCUAUUUUCCCAGGAUUGUAUGGGCAAAUUCGUGAUUUUCCCUUUUCCCGGAUUUCCUUUACCCAAACAAGCUCCAUCUGUUCAAUUCCUCCCCACCCUUCAGUGCACAUCUCAGAAGAUAUUUUUAUGCAGCUUUUCCAGAUCUCACAAACAAUAUGUCAUCUCCCUUUCUUGAAUCUCUAAUGCUUUGUACUUUUCUAAUACUCUCCAACACAUUCUACUGUGCAGUUCAAUUAUGGUGUACUUAUAAAUUCCGCAGCUCUAUAUCUGAAUCAUCUUGGUAGUCCUCUCAAGCAUCUAGUACAAAACUUUACAUAUAGCAGCAAUUCAGUAAAUAGGGGCAUUUGUAAGUUGAGCUGAAAACACAUAUAAUAAAUAUAAAGAACUCAUCUGGUAAUAACCUUGCUCUCUGUUUUUCAACAGAGGAGACAGCUAUAACUCCAAAAGUGAAAGUAGAAGAACUGCCAGUGCUCAAAAGCUACAAAUAUAGCUAGAGCCAGGGCAUAAAAUGAAAUACUUCUGGCUCAUAUAGUUCCACUGAGCCACACUGCAUUUUAUACACUUCUUCUUUAAUGGUUCAGACGUACAGUUCUUAAUAUCACAUGGAGACUCAUAACCUUCAGAAUACAGCAUGAAUCAGCUGGCUGCACU